GACGAACGCUGGCGGCGUGCCUAAUACAUGCAAGUCGAACGCAGUGGGGACGGGUGAGUAACACGUGGGUAACCUCCCAUCAGAGGGGAUAACACUUGGAAACAGGUGCUAAACCGAUACUGAUGGAUGGACCCGCGGUGCAUUAGCUAGUUGGUGAGGUAACGGCUCACCAAGGCGACGAUGCAUAGCGGACGGGAAAGGGGGAUAGGCGAGACGGGAACUGGGACACGGCCCAGACGCCUACGGGAGGCAGCAGGAGGGAAUCUUCGGCAAGGGACGAAAGUCUGACCGAGAAACGCGGCGUGAGUGAAGAAGGUUUUCGGAUCGUAAAACUCUGUUGGUAGAGAAGCGGUAUCGAACCAGAAAGCCACGGCUAACUACGUGCCAGCAGCCGCGGUAAUUC
rnacentral:rRNA from 1 species